rnacentral:rRNA from 1 species
AGAACGAACGCUGGCGGCAGGCUUAACACAUGCAAGUCGAACGCCCCCGCAAGGGGAGUGGCAGACGGGUGAGUAACGCGUGGGAACCUACCCAAUUCUACGGAACAACUGAGGGAAACUUCAGCUAAUACCGUAUACGCCCUACGGGGGAAAGAUUUAUCGGAGUUGGAUGGGCCCGCGUUGGAUUAGCUAGUUGGUGAGGUAACGGCUCACCAAGGCGACGAUCCAUAGCUGGUCUGAGAGGAUGAUCAGCCACACUGGGACUGAGACACGGCCCAGACUCCUACGGGAGGCAGCAGUGGGGAAUUUGGACAAUGGGGCAACCCUG